CAACAAUCUCUGCCUGACAUGAGUAGUGCACCAAAUGAUGCGCGGUGAAGCAUUCCUCCUUCACUUGGAUCGAACCAUGUAUCAAAGGAUAUGGAACAAGAAGACAUGAUGUGAUGAAGAAAAUAUGUUCCAAAUCAAAUAUGACAUGGGAUGGGUCUUACAAUGACCUUCGUUAUCUAAAUGCAAUAUUUUGAUGUGUUUUAGCUACUUUUUGAAAAGAGACUUUACUCCGUAUUAUAUGUAAUUGGAUAAAUUACACUCUAUUUUGAUUUGUGUUGUUUAGAUUAAAAAUUAAACAUAUCUAGCUUAUAAUGAAAUUUUUAUGAUUUAGAUUU